rnacentral:rRNA from 1 species
GGGGAGUGACGUCAAGUCAUCAUGGCCCUUACGGCCUGGGCUACACACGUGCUACAAUGGUCGGUACAAAGGGUUGCCAAGCCGCGAGGUGGAGCUAAUCCCAUAAAACCGAUCGUAGUCCGGAUCGCAGUCUGCAACUCGAUUGCGUGAAGUCGGAAUCGCUAGUAACCGUGAAUCAGAAUGUCACGGUGAAUACGUUCCCGGGCCUU